CUCUUUCAAGUUUGACGCUUCGCUUCAGGCUUCAUGGAGCCAGGCAGCAAGACAUGCGGCGGCAGGGCGAGGGCUGUAGCUGCUGCGGCGGAUCUGUAAGCGGAGGUUCUGGUUACGGUACAACUUUGCCCCGCAGCCUCACGGGGUUAUCUCCCCGCAGCGGUGCCGUAAGGAAGGGAUGAGACGUUUUCCAGCACCAGCCAGAGCGUUCAGUGUUACGCGAAGAAUCUGUUCAAAACGGUAUCGCUUAGUCUUAAUACCGUUUUCAAGUGUUCCAGUCCCUCUAGCUUUUAAAGGAGGUGUUGUGUUUUGACAUGACCCGUUUGCCCAGAAUCUUGCUGCGGCUCAAUUUCCUUCCUAUCCCUUGUGCUGACUGAGCUCCUCCAUUUUCUUCUGUGCUAUUUUAUUAACGUGCUGAAAUAUAGUUUGGGAUUUCUGUUUUUCAGAUGUCUUCUCAGUGUCUCGUGAUGCUCAAGAGAUGCCCCCCGGCCCGGGUUUGCCUGCCGGUCGUUAAGCGUGGUGAAGAGGCAGAGGAGGAGUUGUUCAGGGUGACAGAGGAAAGCCGGGGAAAUGCUGUAAGAAGGUGAUGGGUGAGCCUCAAAGUGGCAGCUGG